rnacentral:rRNA from 1 species
UACGAAGGGGGCUAGCGUUGCUCGGAAUCACUGGGCGUAAAGCGCACGUAGGCGGCUUUCUAAGUCAGGGGUGAAAUCCUGGAGCUCAACUCCAGAACUGCCUUUGAUACUGGGAAGCUCGAGUCCGGAAGAGGUGAGUGGAACUCCGAGUGUAGAGGUGAAAUUCGUAGAUAUUCGCAAGAACACCAGUGGCGAAGGCGGCUCACUGGCCCGGAACUGACGCUGAGGUGCGAAAGCGUGGGGAGCAAACAGG